GAUUAACGCUGGCGGCGUGCAUAACACAUGCAAGUCGAACGAUGAAACUUAGUAGACUUCUUCGGAAAGACAUUAAGCGGAUUAGUGGCGAACGGGUGAGUAACGCGUGAGUAACCUGCCUUACACAAGGGGACAGCCUUUGGAAACGAAGAAUAAUACCCUAUAAAACCAUAAAAGCACAUGCUAGAAUGGUCAAAGUGAUAGCGGUGUAAGAUGGACUUGCGUCUGAUUAGCUAGUUGGUGAGAUAAAAGCUCACCAAGGCAACGAUCAGUAGCCGGCUUGAGAGAGUGUACGGCCACAUUGGGACUGAGACACGGCCCAGACUCCUACGGGAGGCAGCAGUGGGGAAUUUUGCACAAUGGGGGAAACCCUGAUGCAGCGACGCCGCGUGAUUUAGAAGGCCUUCGGGUUGUAAAAAUCUUUUGUAUAGGAAGAAAACGACAGUACUAUACGAAUAAGGUCCGGCUAAUUACGUG
rnacentral:rRNA from 1 species